AUCCAGCUGACGAGUCACAAAUAGAACGAAACGCGCAUCUUGAAU
rnacentral:hammerhead_ribozyme from 1 species